AUGCGUAGGUGGCGAGCGUUAUCCGGAAUUACUGGGUGUAAAGGGUGUGUAGGCGGGAAGGCAAGUCGGAUGUGAAAAUUAUGGGCUCAACCCAUAAAGUGCGACCGAAACUGUUUUUCUUGAGGAUCGGAGAGGUAAUGAGAAUUCCCGGUGUAGCGGUGAAAUGCGCAGAGAUCGGGAGGAAUACCGGUGGCGAAGGCGAAUUACUGGACGAUAACUGACGCUGAGACACGAAAGCGUGGGGAGCAAACAGGAUUAGAUACCCUGGUAGUCCUGGCAGUAAACGAUGUAUGCUGGGUGUGAGACUAGCGAUAGUUUCGUGCCGAAGUUAACGCGAUAAGCAUACCGCCUGGGGAGUACGGUCGCAAGAUUGAAACUCAAAGGAAUUGACGGGG
rnacentral:rRNA from 1 species